rnacentral:tRNA from 1 species
CGCUCGGUGGUGAAAUAGGAUCAUGGUUGUCUUACAAACAACAGUCGAAGGGGCAGAACCUUCCCGGGCGACCA